rnacentral:tRNA from 1 species
GGCCCCGUAGCUCAACUGAAUAGAGCAUCUGACUACGGAUCAGAAGGCUACAGGUUUGAAUCCUGUCGGGGUCA